rnacentral:sRNA from 1 species
UGAUACAAGGGUUAACAAGUCAGAAAUCGUUCCUGCUUGCAGGAUAAGGUUUCUGACUUGUUGACCCGCUCACACAUGAGGAAGCAGCGAUUUUCUUUGGAAAAUCUGCGGAUUCCGAAUGUGUGUAGAAUUGUGAGAGUUGGUUGCAUAGCAACGGAACAAUUCGUGUAUCA